rnacentral:rRNA from 1 species
GGCCUUGACAUACUAAGAACUUUCCAGAGAUGGAUUGGUGCCUUCGGGAACUUAGAUACAGGUGCUGCAUGGCUGUCGUCAGCUCGUGUCGUGAGAUGUUGGGUUAAGUCCGCAACGAGCGCAACCCUUUUCCUAUUUGCCAGCGGGUAAUGCCGGGAACUUUAAGGAUACUGCCAGUGACAAACUGGAGGAAGGCGGGGACGACGUCAAGUCAUCAUGGCCCUUACGGCCAGGGCUACACACGUGCUACAAUGGUCGGUACAAAGGGUUGCUACUUCGCGAGAGGAUGCUAAUCUCAAAAAGCCGAUCGUAGUCCGGAUCGCAGUCUGCAACUCGACUGCGUGAAGUCGGAAUCGCUAGUAAUCGCGGAUCAGAAUGCCGCGGUGAAUACGUUCCCGGGCCUUGUACACACCGCCCGUCACACCAUGGGAGUUUGUUGCACCAGAAGUAGGUAGUCUAACCGCAAGGAGGACGCUUACCACGGUGUGGCCGAUGACUGGGGUGAAGUCGUAACAAGGUAGGCGUAGAUGA